rnacentral:rRNA from 14 species
CCAGCAGCCGCGGUAAUACGUAGGUCCCGAGCGUUGUCCGGAUUUAUUGGGCGUAAAGCGAGCGCAGGCGGUUAGAUAAGUCUGAAGUUAAAGGCUGUGGCUUAACCAUAGUACGCUUUGGAAACUGUUUAACUUGAGUGCAAGAGGGGAGAGUGGAAUUCCAUGUGUAGCGGUGAAAUGCGUAGAUAUAUGGAGGAACACCGGUGGCGAAAGCGGCUCUCUGGCUUGUAACUGACGCUGAGGCUCGAAAGCGUGGGGAGCAAAC